AGUGAACGCUGGCGGCAGGCCUAACACAUGCAAGUCGAACGGCAGCACAGUUACAGCUUGCUCUUACUGGUGGCGAGUGGCGUACUGUUUAGGAAAACAUCGUAAUCUACUUUUUCGUGGGGGAUAACGUUGUGAUACUUACCCUAAUACCGCAUACUACCUUCCUGUUAUUGCAAGCUAUCUUCGGUCCUUGUGCGAUUGAAUGAGCUGACGUCGGUUUAGCUAGUUGGCGGGGUAAAGGCCCACCUAGGCGACGGUCCUUAGCAGGUCUGAGAGGAUGAUCAGCCACACUGGAAAUGAGACAAGGUCCAGAAUCCUAAGGGAGGCAGCAGUGGGAAGUAUUGGACAAUGGGCAGAAGCCAGAUCCAGGCAAACCGCGUGAGUGAAGAAGGGCUUCGGGUUGUGAAGCAUUUUUGUUGGGAAAGAAAAGAAGCAGGUUAAUACCGAGCAGUUCUGACGGUACCCAAAGAAUAAGCACCGGCUAACUUCGUG
rnacentral:rRNA from 1 species